AUUGAACGCUAGCGGCAGGCUUAACCCAUGCAAGUCGAGCGAGCGGCGGACGGGUGAGUAAUGUCUGGGAAACUGCCUGAUGGCGGGGGAUAACUACUGGAAACGGUAGCUAAUACCGCAUACCAUCAGAUGUGCCCAGAUGGGAUUGGCUAGUAGGUGGGGUAAUUGCUCACCUAGGCUACGAUCCCUAGCUGGUCUGAGAGGAUGACCAGACACACUCGAACUGAUACACGGUCCAAACUCGUACGGGAGGUAGCAGUGGGGAAUAUUGCACAAUGGGCGCAAGCCUGAUGCAGCCAUGCCGCGUGUAUGAAGAAGGCCUUCGGGUUGUAAAGUACUUUCAGCGAGGAGGCGUUACUCGCAGAAGAAGCACCGGCUAACGCCGUGCCAGCAGCCGCGGUAAUAC
rnacentral:rRNA from 1 species